rnacentral:misc_RNA from 1 species
AGCAGCCGCGGUAAUUCCAGCUCCAAUAGCGUAUAUUAAAGUUGUUGCAGUUAAAAAGCUCGUAGUUGAAUUUCGGGAUCAAUUUGCUGGUCGUGCCUCUGGUACGUACUGGUAUUAUUGGUUUCUCCCUUCUGACGAACCAUGAUGUCAUUAAUUUGAUGUCGUGGAGAAUCAGGACUGUUACUUUGAAAAAUUAGAGUGUUUAAAGCAGGCAUUAGCUUGAAUACAUUAGCAUGGAAUAAUGAAAUAGGACGUUUGAUCCUAUUUUGUUGGUUUCUAGGAUUGACGUAAUGAUUAAUAGGGAUAGUUGGGGGCAUUAGUAUUCAAUUGUCAGAGGUGAAAUUCUUGGAUUUAUUAAAGACUAACUACUGCGAAAGCAUUUGCCAAGGAUGUUUUCAUUAAUCAAGAACGAAAGUUAGGGGAUCGAAGACGAUCAGAUACCGUCGUAGUCUUAACCAUAAACUAUGCCGACUAGGGAUCGGAUGAUGUUAAUUUUUAAUGUACUCAUUCGGUCCG